GCGUCAUAGAGGGUGAGAAUCCCGUCUUUGGCACGGAAACCCCAGGGCUUUUGUGACGCGCUCUCGAAGAGUCGAGUUGUUUGGGAAUGCAGCUCAAAAUGGGUGGUGAACUCCAUCUAAAGCUAAAUAUUGGCGAGAGACCGAUAGCGAACAAAUACCGUGAGGGAAAGAUGAAAAGCACUUUGGAAAGAGAGUGAAACAGUACGUGAAAUUGUUGAAAGGGAAACGCUUGAAGUCAGUCGCGUCGACCGAGACUCAGCCUUGCCCUUGGCUUGGUGUACUUCUCGGCUGACGGGUCAGCAUCAAUUUUGCCCCUUGGAUAAUGGCGAGGGAAAUGUGACACCUUUACGGUGUGUUAUAGUCUCUUGUCGCAUGCAAGGGUUGGGAUUGAGGAACUCAGCACGCACCUUUGGGUGUCGGGGCUUUGCCCACGAUACGUGCUUAGGAUGUUGGCGUAAUGGCUUUAAACGACCCGUCUUGAAACACGGACCAAGGAGUCUAACAUGCCUGCGAGUGUUCGGGUGGAAAACUCGUGCGCGCAAUGAAAGUGAAAGUUGGGACCUCUGUCGUGGAGGGCACCGACGCCCGGACCAGACCUUCUGUGACGGCUCUGCGGUAAAGCAUGUAUGUUAGGACCCGAAAGAUGGUGAACUAUGCCUGAAUAGGGUGAAGCCAGAGGAAACUCUGGUGGAGGCUCGUAGCGAUUCUGACGUGCAAAUCGAUCGUCAAAUUUGGGUAUAGGGGCGAAAGACUAAUCGAACCAUCUAGUAGCUGGUUCCUGC
rnacentral:rRNA from 1 species